rnacentral:ncRNA from 1 species
GACCCAAAAGAUGAUGAACUAUGCCUGAGCAGGGCGAAGCCAGAGGAAACUCUGGUGGAGGUCCGUAGCGGUCCUGAACGUGCAGACUAAUCGAACCAUCUAGUAGCUGG